rnacentral:rRNA from 1 species
UACGUAGGGUGCAAGCGUUUGUCCGGAAUUAUUGGGCGUAAAGAGCUCGUAGGCGGUUUGUCGCGUCGAAUGUGAAAACCCGGGGCUCAACUCCGGGCCUGCAUUCGAUACGGGCAGACUAGAGUUCGGUAGGGGAGUCUGGAAUUCCUGGUGUAGCGGUGAAAUGCGCAGAUAUCAGGAGGAACACCGGUGGCGAAGGCGGGACUCUGGGCCGAUACUGACGCUGAGGAGCGAAAGCGUGGGGAGCGAUCCGG